AUUGAACGCUGGCGGCAGGCCUAACACAUGCAAGUCGAACGAGUGGCGGACGGGUGAGUAAUGUCUGGGAAACUGCCUGAUGGAGGGGGAUAACUACUGGAAACGGUAGCUAAUACCGCAUACCAUCAGAUGUGCCCAGAUGGGAUUAGCUAGUGGGUGGGGUAACGGCUCACCAAGGCGCCGAUCCCUAGCUGGUCGGAGAGGAUGACCGGCCACACUGGAACGGAGAAAGGGUCCAGACUCCUACGGGAGGCAGCGGGGGGGAAUUUUGCACAAUGGGCGCAAGCCUGAUGCAGCCAUGCCGGGUGUAUGAAGAAGGCCUUCGGGUUGUAAAGUACUUUCGGCGGGGAGGCGUUACCCGCAGAAGAAGCACCGGCUAACUCCGUGCCAGCGCCGCGGUAAUUC
rnacentral:rRNA from 1 species